AAAGGGUCCGUAGGCGGUUUAAUAAGUCAGUGGUGAAAGCCCAUCGCUCAACGGUGGAACGGCCAUUGAUACUGUUAAACUUGAAUUAUUAGGAAGUAACUAGAAUAUGUAGUGUAGCGGUGAAAUGCUUAGAGAUUACAUGGAAUACCAAUUGCGAAGGCAGGUUACUACUAAUGGAUUGACGCUGAUGGACGAAAGCGUGGGUAGCGAACAGGAUUAGAUACCCUAGU
rnacentral:rRNA from 1 species